AGAACGUAGCUAAAACAGAAAAGCAUCUCA
rnacentral:tRNA from 1 species